CAACGCCGCGUGAGUGAUGAAGGUCUUCGGGUCGUAAAGCUCUGUCAAGUGGGAAGAACCUGUAGGCGGUUAAUACCCGUCUGCACUGACGGUACCACUGAAGGAAGCACCGGCUAACUCCGUGCCAGCAGCCGCGGUAAUACGGGGGGUGCAAGCGUUACUCGGAAUCAUUGGGCGUAAAGGGCGCGUAGGCGGCCUGGUGAGUCAGAUGUGAAAGCCCGGGGCUCAACCCCGGAAGUGCAUUUGAUACUGCCAGGCUUGAGUAUGGGAGAGGGAAGUGGAAUUCCUGGUGUAGAGGUGAAAUUCGUAGAUAUCAGGAGGAACACCGGUGGCGAAGGCGACUUCCUGGACCAAUACUGACGCUGAGGCGCGAAGGCGUGGGGAGCAAACAGGAUUAGAUACCCUGGUAGUCCACGCAGUAAACGUUGUUCACUAGGUGUAGCGGGUAUUGACCCCUGCUGUGCCGAAGCUAACGCAUUAAGUGAACCGCCUGGGAAGUACGGCCGCAAGGUUA
rnacentral:rRNA from 1 species